rnacentral:rRNA from 1 species
AGAGUUUGAUCAUGGCUCAGGACGAACGCUGGCGGCGUGCUUAACACAUGCAAGUCGAGCGGAAAGGCCCUUCGGGGUACUCGAGCGGCGAACGGGUGAGUAACACGUGAGGAAUCUGCCCCUAGCUCUGGGAUAGCCUCGGGAAACCGGGAUUAAUACCGGAUACGACCACAGACGGCAUCGGCUGUGGUGGAAAGAUUUAUCGGCUAGGGAUGGCCUCGCGGCCUAUCAGCUUGUUGGUGGGGUAACGGCCUACCAAGGCGACGACGGGUAGCCGGCCUGAGAGGGCGACCGGCCACACUGGGACUGAGACACGGCCCAGACUCCUACGGGAGGCAGCGGUGGGGAAUAUUGCGCAAUGGGCGAAAGCCUGACGCAGCAACGCCGCGUGGGGGAUGAAGGCCUUCGGGUUGUAAACCCCUUUCAGCAGGGACGAAGCGAGAGUGACGGUACCUGCAGAAGAAGCGCCGGCUAACUACGUGCCAGCAGCCGCGGUAAUACGUAGGGCGCGAGCGUUGUCCGGAAUUAUUGGGCGUAAAGAGCUCGUAGGUGGUCUGUUACGUCUGCUGUGAAAACCUAGGGCUUAACCCUGGGCUUGCAGUGGAUACGGGCAGACUAGAGGUAGGUAGGGGAGAAUGGAAUUCCCGGUGUAGCGGUGAAAUGCGCAGAUAUCGGGAGGAACACCGGUGGCGAAGGCGGUUCUCUGGGCCUUACCUGACACUGAGGAGCGAAAGCGUGGGGAGCGAACAGGAUUAGAUACCCUAGUAGUCC